rnacentral:tRNA from 1 species
GGAGGGAUCGUGGCUCAGAGGUAAGAGCAUCAGUUUCGAAUGCAGAAGGUCACUGGUUCCAUCUCCAGCACCUCCA